rnacentral:rRNA from 1 species
UGGGGAAUUUUCCGCAAUGGGCGAAAGCCUGACGGAGCAAGACCGCGUGGGGGAGGAAGGUUUUUGGAUCGUAAACCCCUUUUGUCAAGGAAGAAGCUCUGACGGUACUUGACGAAUAAGCCUCGGCUAACUCCGUGCCAGCAGCCGCGGUAAUACGGAGGAGGCAAGCGUUAUCCGGAAUGAUUGGGCGUAAAGCGUCUGUAGGUGGCCAGCUAAGUCUGCUGUUAAAGAUCACAGCUCAACUGUGGGAAGGCAGUGGAAACUGGCAAGCUAGAGGUUGGUAGGGGUAAAGGGAAUUCCCGGUGUAGCGGUGAAAUGCGUAGAUAUCGGGAAGAACACCGGUGGCGAAAGCGCUUUACUGGGCCAGACCUGACACUGAAGGACGAAAGCUAGGGGAGCGAAAGGGAUUAGAUACCCCUGUAGUC